UACGUAGGGUGCGAGCGUUACUCGGAAUUACUGGGCGUAAAGCGUGCGCAGGCGGCGCGUUAAGACAGGUGUGAAAGCCCCGAGCUUAACUUGGGAAUUGCGCUUGUGACUGGCGUGCUGGAGUGUGGCAGAGGGAGGUGGAAUUCCACGUGUAGCAGUGAAAUGCGUAGAGAUGUGGAGGAACACCGAUGGCGAAGGCAGCCUCCUGGGCCAGCACUGACGCUCAUGCACGAAAGCGUGGGGAGCGAACAGG
rnacentral:rRNA from 1 species